GACGAACGCUGGCGGCGUGCCUAACACAUGCAAGUCGGACGGAUCAGGGAUGACAGCUUGCUGUAGUUCCUGGUUAGUGGCGGACGGGUGAGUAACGCGUGAGGACCUACCCUGGAGAGGGGGAUAACGGCUGGAAACGGCUGCUAAUACCCCCGUAAGCCGGAGGGUGAAAGGGAGCGAUCUGCUCCGGGGCGGCCUUGCGUCCUAUCAGCUAGUUGGUGGGGUAAUGGCCUACCAAGGCGAAGACGGGUAGCCGGCCUGAGAGGGCGACCGGCCACACUGGAACUGAGACACGGUCCAGACUCCUACGGGAGGCAGCAGUGGGGAAUAUUGGGCAAUGGUCGAAAGACUGACCCAGCCAUGCCGCGUGCAGGAUGAAGGCCCUAUGGGUUGUAAACUGCUUUUAGCCGGGAAUAAACACCCGUUUUAUAACGGGCCCGAAGGUACCGGCUGAAUAAGCAUCGGCUAACUCCGUGCCAGCAGCCGCGGUAAGCACGAGAGUA
rnacentral:rRNA from 1 species